UACGGGGGGGGCAAGCGUUGUUCGGAAUUACUGGGCGUAAAGGGCUCGUAGGUGGCCAACUAAGUCAGACGUGAAAUCCCUCGGCUUAACCGGGGAACUGCGUCUGAUACUGGAUGGCUUGAGUUCGGGAGAGGGAUGCGGAAUUCCAGGUGUAGCGGUGAAAUGCGUAGAUAUCUGGAGGAACACCGGUGGCGAAGGCGGCAUCCUGGACCGACACUGACACUGAGGAGCGAAAGCCAGGGGAGUAAACGGG
rnacentral:rRNA from 1 species